ACUACUACUCUAGAGUAUGGGAGAGGUAGGUGGAAUUCUUGCUGUAGGGGUAAAAUCCGUAGAGAUCAAGAGGAAUACUCACUGCGAAGGCGACCUGCUGGAACAUUACUGACGCUGAUGCGCGAAAGCGUGGGGAGCAAACAGGAUUAGAUACCCUGGUAGUCCACGCCNUAAACGAUGAAUGCUAGUUGUUGUGAGGCUUGUCCUUGCAGUAAUGCAGCUAACGCAUUAAGCAUUCCGCCUGGGGAGUACGGUCGCAAGAUUAAAACUCAAAGGAAUAGACGGGGACCCGCACAAGCGGUGGAGCAUGUGGUUUAAUUCGAAGAUACGCGAAGAACCUUACCUAGGCUUGACAUUGAUAGAAUCUGCUAGAGAUAGCGGAGUGCUGGCUUGCCAGAGCUUGAAAACAGGUGCUGCACGGCUGUCGUCAGCUCGUGUCGUGAGAUGUUGGGUUAAGUCCCGCAACGAGCGCAACCCUCGUCCUUAGUUGCUAGCAGUUCGGCUGAGCACUCUAAGGAGACUGCCUUCGUAAGGAGGAGGAAGGUGAGGAUGACGUCAAGUCAUCAUGGCCCUUACGCCUAGGGCUACACACGUGCUACAAUGGGGUGUACAAAGAGAAGCAAUACUGCGAAGUGGAGCCAAUCUCUAAAACAUCUCUCAGUUCGGAUUGUAGUCUGCAACUCGACUACAUGAAGCUGGAAUCGCUAGUAAUCGCAAAUCAGCCAUGUUGCGGUGAAUACGUUCCCGGGUCUUGUACUCACCGCCCGUCACACCAUGGGAGUUGUAUUCGCCUUAAGUCGGAAUACUAAACUAGUUACCGCCCACGGCGGAUGCAGCGACUGGGGUGAAGUCGUAACAAAGGUAGCCGUAAGCC
rnacentral:rRNA from 1 species